GGACGUUGAUAGGCUGGGUGUGGAAGUGCAGUAAUGCAUUAAGCUAACCAGUACUAAUUGCCCGUAAGGCUUGUCCCUAUAACUUUG
rnacentral:rRNA from 1 species